ACAGUCUGAAAAUUACUCCAGUUGUUCAUGUUUUCUGGAGUAAGAUAACUGUGCCAACAUAAAAUUGGUACAUUAAGCUUAUUGUCAGCAAAUGUAGCUGCACAGUGAAACCCAUGUGCCAACAUGC
rnacentral:snoRNA from 1 species